rnacentral:tRNA from 1 species
GGGGGUGUGGUCUAGUCGUAUGAUUCCCGUUUCGCAGCUUUUCUGGAAAUACGGGCGGUCCCGGGUUCAAUUCCCGGCGUCUCCA